UAGAAACCGAAACAAGUCGAACGUUUUUUCUAAUAACUCUGCAUUUGGCAGAGUCCGCACAUUUUGGCGAUCGUGACAGGACUCUGCAUUUGGAAUAUUUGUUUUCUCCCUCUAAACCAAAGGGCAUUGCCAACAUAUUUGGAUAAGAUCGAACGGUUAUACGCUGCUGACGACAGCCGGCAAGAAUUAGAGGACGUAUUCAUAAAAACCAAGGCAAUUAUUAUAACUCGUAUUGGGGCGUCAAAGAAGGACCGGAAGAAGAUGUAAAAUUCUUUAAUUCAUCCGUAAAUUGCGCAACUGGGCACCAUAAUCGAUUGCCUUCGUUAAAGCUGCCCAAGAUCGACGGGAGGUAUGGUGACUACAUGAAGUUUAUCACUGCCUUUACUAGCAUUGUACAUGAUGACGCUUCAAUAUCAGCUGUUGACAAAUUUAACUACUUGCUUAGCUGUUUGUCUGGCCCGGCGCUGUGUUUUGUGGCUCCCUUUCAAGUGUCCGAGAUCAAUUAUCCAAAGGCGUUAAAACAGUUAAAGGAAAGCCAUUUACAUACAUUUAUUAUUUUUAAUUUUAUUUAAGUAAACAUUUAAAAAAAAUAAAUAAUUAAAAAAAAAGAUAAGCUAAAUAUAUAUACCCAGGUUGUUUUUGAAAAUA